UUGGCAAAAGCAUGAGAGCUUUUACUGNGCAAGAAGCCAAGGGAUGGAGAGUCCAGCCGGGCCUGCGCUUAAGUGCGCGGUCUUGCUAGGCUUGUAAGUUUCUUUCUUGCUAUUCCAAACGGUGAGAGAUUUCUGUGCUUUUGUUAUAGGACAAUUAAAACCGUUUCAAUACAACACACUGUGGAGUUUUCAUAUCGUUGCAACUUUUUCUUUGGGCAUUCGAGCAAUCGGGGCCCAGAGGUAACAAACACAAACAAUUUUAUCUAUUCAUUAAAUUUUUGUCAAAAACAAGAAUUUUCGUAACUGGAAAUUUUAAAAUAUUAAAAACUUUCAACAACGGAUCUCUUGGUUCUCGCAUCGAUGAAGAACGCAGCGAAAUGCGAUACGUAAUGUGAAUUGCAGAAUUCCGUGAAUCAUCGAAUCUUUGAACGCACAUUGCGCCCCUUGGUAUUCCAGGGGGCAUGCCUGUUUGAGCGUCAUUUCCUUCUCAAACAUUCUGUUUGGUAGUGAGUGAUACUCUUUGGAGUUAACUUGAAAUUGCUGGCCUUUUCAUUGGAUGUUUUUUUUCCAAAGAGAGGUUUCUCUGCGUGCUUGAGGUAUAAUGCAAGUACGGUCGUUUUAGGUUUUACCAACUGCGGCUAAUCUUUUUUUAUACUGAGCGUAUUGGAACGUUACCGAUAAGAAGAGAGCGUCUAGGCGAACAAUGUUCUUAAAGUUUGACCUCAAAUCAGGUAGGAGUACCCGCUGAACUUAAGCAUAUCAAUAAGCGGAG
rnacentral:rRNA from 1 species